AUCCAGCUGAUGUAUCCCAAAUAGAAUGAAAUGUGCGUCCUGGAU
rfam:Schistosoma mansoni strain Puerto Rico chromosome 1, complete genome